GACGGAGGAUGCAAGUGUUAUCCGGAAUCACUGGGCGUAAAAGCGUCUGUAGGUGGUUUAAAAAGUCUAUUGUUAAAAAUUGAAGACUUAACUUCAAAGAUGCAAUGGAAACUUUUAAACUUGAGUAUGGUAGGGUAGAGGGAAUUUCCAGUGGAGGCGGUGAAAUGCGUAGAUAUUGGAAAGACCACCAAUGGCGAAGGCACUCUACUGGGCCAAUUACUGACACUGAGAGACGAAAGCUAGGGGAGCAAAUGGGAU
rnacentral:rRNA from 1 species